AUUGAACGCUAGCGGGAUGCCUUACACAUGCAAGUCGAACGGCAGCACGGACUUCGGUCUGGUGGCGAGUGGCGAACGGGUGAGUAAUGUAUCGGAACGUGCCCAGUAGCGGGGGAUAACUACGCGAAAGCGUAGCUAAUACCGCAUACGCCCUACGGGGGAAAGCAGGGGAUCGCAAGACCUUGCACUAUUGGAGCGGCCGAUAUCGGAUUAGCUAGUUGGUGGGGUAACGGCUCACCAAGGCGACGAUCCGUAGCUGGUUUGAGAGGACGACCAGCCACACUGGGACUGAGACACGGCCCAGACUCCUACGGGAGGCAGCAGUGGGGAAUUUUGGACAAUGGGGGAAACCCUGAUCCAGCCAUCCCGCGUGUGCGAUGAAGGCCUUCGGGUUGUAAAGCACUUUUGGCAGGAAAGAAACGUCGCGGGUUAAUACCUCGCGAAACUGACGGUACCUGCAGAAUAAGCACCGGCUAACUACGUG
rnacentral:rRNA from 1 species